GACGAACGCUGGCGGCGUGCUUAACACAUGCAAGUCGAGCGGUAAGGGCCCUUUCGGGGGUACACGAGCGGCGAACGGGUGAGUAACACGUGGGUGACCUGCCCUCGGCUCUGGGAUAAGCCUGGGAAACCGGGUCUAAUACCGGAUAUGACUCCAUGACGCAUGUUGUGGGGUGGAAAGCCUUGUGCGGCUGAGGAUGGGCCCGCGGCCUAUCAGCUUGUUGGUGGGGUGANGGCCUACCAAGGCGACGACGGGUAGCCGGCCUGAGAGGGCGACCGGCCACACUGGGACUGAGACACGGCCCAGACUCCUACGGGAGGCAGCAGUGGGGAAUCUUGCGCAAUGGGCGAAAGCCUGACGCAGCGACGCCGCGUGAGGGAUGACGGCCUGGUUGUAACGU
rnacentral:rRNA from 1 species